GGGCCGUUAGCUCAGCUUGGUAGAGCAUCGGGCUCAUAACCCGAGUGUCACUGGUUCAAAUCCGGUACGGCCCACCA
rnacentral:tRNA from 1 species